rnacentral:rRNA from 1 species
UACGUAGGGGGCAAGCGUUGUCCGGAAUUAUUGGGCGUAAAGCGCGCGCAGGCGGUCGAUUAAGUCUGGUGUCUAAGCUCAAGGCUCAACCUUGGGACGCAUUGGAAACUGGACAACUGGAGUGUAGGAGAGGAAAGUGGAAUUCCACGUGUAGCGGUGAAAUGCGUAGAGAUGUGGAGGAACACCAGUGGCGAAGGCGACUUUCUGGCCUAUAACUGACGCUGAGGCGCGAAAGCGUGGGGAGCAAACAGG